AGUGAACGCUGGCGGCAGGCCUAAUACAUGCAAGUCGAACGGCAGCACAGCAGAGCUUGCUCUGUGGGUGGCGAGUGGCGGACGGGUGAGGAAUACGUGGGAAUCUGCCCAGUCGUGGGGGAUAACGUAGGGAAACUUACGCUAAUACCGCAUGCGCCCUUCGGGGAAAGCCGGGGACCUUCGGGCCUGGCGCGAUUGGAUGAGCCCACGUCGGAUUAGCUAGUUGGCGGGGUAAAGGCCCACCAAGGCGACGAUCCGUAGCUGGUCUGAGAGGAUGAUCAGCCACACUGGAACUGAGACACGGUCCAGACUCCUACGGGAGGCAGCAGUAGGGAAUAUUGGACAAUGGGCGCAAGCCUGAUCCAGCCAUGCCGCGUGAGUGAAGAAGGCCCUCGGGUUGUAAAGCUCUUUUGUCCGGAAAGAAAGCGCCGGGUUAAUACCCUGGUGUCCUGACGGUACCGGAAGAAUAAGCACCGGCUAACUUCGUGCCAGCAGCCGCGGUAAU
rnacentral:rRNA from 1 species